GGACCAAACACUCCAAUGCCUCCUUUGAAAGAGGAGAAGUUGUAAUAGCAUAGUAAUCAAAAAAUAUCUGCAACGUUGAUGGAUCCUCUAAUAUUGGCCUCCAAGAUGAUGGAAUCUGAACAGUACCAAAUUCCUCUGAACUUUCAUCAAUUGAUGUCCCAACAAAAUCAAAAGAUAAGCAUUUGAGAGAAAGAGAAAGUGCCAACUCUUGCAAUCGACUUGCAACGUCAUUUUUCAAUUGUCGGAGUGAGGUUAAAGAUAUUUGGAAUAUUUGGUAAAGUGACUGAUCCCUAAAGGAGCAGGC
rnacentral:misc_RNA from 1 species